UAAGCCGAGGCCGAAAGGCGUAGGCGAUGGACAACAGGUUGAUAUUCCUGUACCACCUCCUCACCAUUUGAGCAAUGGGGGGACGCAGGAGGAUAGGGUAAGCGCGGUAUUGGAUAUCCGCGUCCAAGCAGUUAGGCUGGGAAAUAGGCAAAUCCGUUUCCCAUAAGGCUGAGCUGUGAUGGCGAGCGAAAUAUAGUAGCGAAGUCCCUGAUUCCACACUGCCAAGAAAAGCCUCUAGCGAGGUGAGAGGUGCCCGUACCGCAAACCGACACAGGUAGGCGAGGAGAGAAUCCUAAGGUGAUCGAGAGAACUCUCGUUAAGGAACUCGGCAAAAUGACCCCGUAACUUCGGGAGAAGGGGUGCUCUGUUAGGGUGCAAGCCCGAGAGAGCCGCAGUGAAUAGGCCCAGGCGACUGUUUAGCAAAAACACAGGUCUCCGCGAAGCCGUAAGGCGAAGUAUAGGGGCUGACGCCUGCCCGGUGCUGGAAGGUUAAGAGGAGCGCUUAGCGUAAGCGAAGGUGCGAAUUGAAGCCCCAGUAAACGGCGGCCGUAACAAUAACGGUCCUAAGGUAGCGAAAUUCCUUGUCGGGUAAGUUCCGACCCGCACGAAAGGCGCAACGAUCUGGGCACUGUCUCAACGAGAGACUCGGUGAAAUUAUAGUACCUGUGAAGAUGCAGGUUACCCGCGACAGGACGGAAAGACCCCGUGGAGCUUUACUGCAGCCUGAUAUUGAAUGUUGGUACAGCUUGUACAGGAUAGGUAGGAGCCUUGGAAACCGGAGCGCCAGCUUCGGUGGAGGCAUCGGUGGGAUACUACCCUGGCUGUAUUGACCUUCUAACCCGCCGCCCUUAUCGGGCGGGGAGACAGUGUCAGGUGGGCAGUUUGACUGGGGCGGUCGCCUCCUAAAAGGUAACGGAGGCGCCCAAAGGUUCCCUCAGAAUGGUUGGAAAUCAUUCGCAGAGUGUAAAGGCACAAGGGAGCUUGACUGCGAGACCUACAAGUCGAGCAGGGACGAAAGUCGGGCUUAGUGAUCCGGUGGUUCCGCAUGGAAGGGCCAUCGCUCAACGGAUAGAAGCUACCCCGGGGAUAACAGGCUUAUCUCCCCCAAGAGUCCACAUCGACGGGGAGGUUUGGCACCUCGAUGUCGGCUCAUCGCAUCCUGGGGCUGUAGUCGGUCCCAAGGGUUGGGCUGUUCGCCCAUUAAAGCGGUACGCGAGCUGGGUUCAGAACGUCGUGAGACAGUUCGGUCCCUAUCCGUCGCGGGCGCAGGAAAUUUGAGAGGAGCUGUCCUUAGUACGAGAGGACCGGGAUGGACGCACCGCUGGUGUACCAGUUGUUCUGCCAAGGGCAUCGCUGGGUAGCUAUGUGCGGACGGGAUAAGUGCUGAAAGCAUCUAAGCAUGAAGCCCCCCUCAAGAUGAGAUUUCCCAUUCCGCAAGGAAGUAAGAUCCCUGAAAGAUGAUCAGGUUGAUAGGUCUGAGGUGGAAGUGUGGCGACACAUGGAGCUGACAGAUACUAAUCGAUCGAGGACUUAACC
rnacentral:rRNA from 1 species